GACGAACGCUGGCGGCGUGCUUAACACAUGCAAGUCGAGCGGUAAGGCCCUUUCGGGGGUACACGAGCGGCGAACGGGUGAGUAACACGUGAGCAACCUGCCCUUCUCUUUGGAAUAAGCGUUGGAAACGACGUCUAAUGCCGAAUAUGACCCCCUGUCGCAUGGUGGGGGGUGGAAAGCUCUGGCGGAGAAGGAUGGGCUCGCGGCCUAUCAGCUUGUUGGUGUGGGUAAUGGCCCACCAAGGCGACGACGGGUAGCCGGCCUGAGAGGGUGACCGGCCACACUGGGACUGAGACACGGCCCAGACUCCUACGGGAGGCAGCAGUGGGGAAUAUUGGACAAUGGGCGAAAGCCUGAUCCAGCAACGCCGCGUGAGGGAUGACGGCCUUCGGGUUGUAAACCUCUUUCAGCAGGGACGAAGCGAGAGUGACGGUACCUGCAGAAGAAGGACCGGCCAACUACGUGCCAGCAGCCGCAGUAACAC
rnacentral:rRNA from 1 species